GGGUAUAUAGCUCAGUGGUAGAGCACGUGCUUAGGGGUGCACGAGAUCCUGGGUUCAACCCCCAGUACCUCCA
rnacentral:tRNA from 1 species